rnacentral:rRNA from 1 species
CACGUAGGCACCAAGCGUUGUCCGGAUUUAUUGGGCGUAAAGAGCUCGUAGGCGGUUCGGUAAGUCGGGUGUGAAAACUCUGGGCUCAACCCAGAGCCGCCACCCGAUACUGCUGUGACUCGAGUGCGGUAGGGGAGCGGGGAAUUCCUGGUGUAGCGGUGAAAUGCGCAGAUAUCAGGAGGAACACCAAUUGCGAAGGCAGCUCGCUGGGACGUUACUGACGCUGAGACGCGAAAGCGUGGGGAGCAAACAGG